AGUGGCGCACGGGUGAGUAACACGUAGGCAAUCUUCCAUCAGGACGGGGACAACCCCGAGAAAUCGGGGCUAAUACCCGGUAAUGCAGCGGCACCGCAUGGUGACAGUUGUUAAAAGCCGAAAGGUGCCUGAUGAUGAGCCUGCGUCCCAUUAGGUAGUUGGCGGGGUAACGGCCCACCAAGCCGACGAUGGGUAGCUGGUCUGAGAGGAUGAUCAGCCACACUGGAACUGAGACACGGUCCAGACUCCUACGGGAGGCAGCAGUGAGGAAUAUUGCGCAAUGGCCGAAAGGCUGACGCAGCGACGCCGCGUGAGGGAUGAAGUCCGUUAGGAUGUAAACCUCUUUUGCAGGGGAUGAAACCGCCGCUACAGGCGGCGGAUGACCGUACCCUGCGAAUAAGGAUCGGCUAACUACGUGCCAGCAGCCGCGGUAAUACGUAGGAUCCGAGCGUUGUCCGGAAUUACUGGGUGUAAAGGGCGUGUAGGUGGGUCUUUAAGUCGGUGGUGAAAUCUUGCGGCUCAACCGCAAAACUGCCGUCGAUACUGGGGACCUUGAGUGCGGAAGAGGGAAAUGGAAUUCAUGGUGUAGCGGUGAAAUGUGUAGAUAUCAUGAAGAACACCAGUUGCGAAGGCGGUUUCCUGGUCCGCUACUGACACUGAGGCGCGAAAGCGUGGGGAGCAAACAGGAUUAGAUACCCUG
rnacentral:rRNA from 1 species